AUGAUUUACAAGCCUAUUAACAGUACAUUGGUUAUGAUCAUGCCCUUGAAUGGUAGACUAACAGCAGCACUACUCUCAAUUUUUAUUAAUUUUGUCAGACCAACAACUAUUUUGUUGCUUCCUGUCUACUGUUUUGAAGUUUUGCAAUUUGCCAAUGCAAGUCAGGGCAGCAAUCCGUUUCCACAUUAUCCAACAUCAUGUCUUUGUAAACAAUUCCAUAGAAUGAUGGCGCCAACCCAAAUACAAUAUGUUUUCACAUUAAAUAUUUCAAAAUUGAGUGCAGUGCUGCACUCAGCAUAG
rnacentral:rRNA from 1 species